AAUCAGUUAUGGUUCCUUAGAUCGUUCAUACUACAUGGAUAACUGUGGUAAUUCUAGAGCUAAUACAUGCAAAAAGCUCCGACCGUAUGGGAAGAGCGCUUUUAUUAGACCAAAACCAAUGGGGUCGCAAGAUCCCUUUGUAUGGUGACUCUGGAUAACUUUGUGCUGAUCGCAUGGCCUAGAGCCGGCGACGUAUCUUUCAAGUGUCUGCCCUAUCAACUUUCGAUGGUAAGCGAUUUGCCUACCAUGGUUGUAACGGGUAACGGGGAAUCAGGGUUCGAUUCCGGAGAGGGAGCAUGAGAAAUGGCUACCACAUCUACGGAAGGCAGCAGGCGCGCAAAUUACCCACUCCUAGAACGGGGAGGUAGUGACGAAAAAUAACAAUACCGGACUCAAUGAGGCUCGGUAAUUGAAAUGAGUACAGUUUAAAACCCUUAACGAGGAUCUAUUGGAGGGCAAGUCUGGUGCCAGCAGCCGCGGUAAUUCCAGCUCCAAUAGCGUAUAUUAAAGUUGUUGCAGUUAAAAAGCUCGUAGUUGGAUCUCGGGUACUAGCAUGUGGUACGCUUAACUGCUGUUACUACAUGUCUGGUCCUAAUCAACCGGUUGGCCGUUGAUGCCCUUUAUUGGGUGUUUUCGGUAGCCGGUACGUUUACUUUGAGAAAAUUAGAGUGCUUAAAGCAGGCCUUACGCCUGAAUAAUGUUGCAUGGAAUAAUAGAAUAGGACCUCGGUUCUAUUUUGUUGGUUUUGUAGAGCAUUGAGGUAAUGAUUAAUAGGGACAGACGGGGGCAUUCGUAUUGCGGUGUUAGAGGUGAAAUUCUUGGAUCG
rnacentral:rRNA from 1 species